UUGUCGGACGUAACCAUUCAUGGCCUGUGGUUGUGGUUCGAUCGUCUGUGACUCCGGCCGCUACAAUUUCUCGGCUGGCACUUAUCAGGGGCAUCGGUAGGUGUCCGGACAGCUUGGAAGCAGAGAAUGACCGGCGACUGUGCACCGACGUGAAACACCUCCUGAAACCUUCGUCACAGUGCAGGGCAGAAUACAUAUAUGCAGAUUUACUUCCUUGAGUUUCGAAUCGUGUGGACUGUUCCGACGUUGCUAUCGGGUUGGCCAGCCCUGGUGUGUCGCAGUUUUCUCGGGACGAUGCGGUGCCGU